GGCCAAUAUGUGUGAACACAGCCUCAGGGGAAGUGAAUAACUACUGUACAGGGUUUGGAAAAAAAUAAAUAUAUAUAUAUAUUUGUCCAGGGACUAAAACUGGAGCCCAAUCUACUCGUCCUGGUACACAAAAUAAGAAACAGCACCACACCUCUCCCUGGUUAUGUCUGGUAUUGCAGCUUCAUUGAAGUCAACGAGAAUGAGUUGCAACAGCUGUGGAAAGCAUAUUAGUACCAUCCAGAUGCAACCUCUUCUCAUGACAACGUUCCGGUCGUUCCUGUUUUGAAUCACCAACUCUACUUACCUGCCAGAAUUCCAGAAGACUUCAUGGCUUCUUCUCCAGUUUAUGAACGAUCUUCAUUGACUUCAUAAAAUACUACAUUUAAGAAUUUUAUUUUGUUAUAGUUUAUCGUAAAGAAAGAGGAUGUUACCUCAGUUACAGCUCCUUUUAUAACAUAGGAGACACUCUGAUUGGCUAUUACCAAUGUGUAGCAUGUUUGUUUGCACCAUUGUAUCUAAGUUUUUUCUUAUUUAUUUUUAAAAACGUUUUUAAUAUUAAUUUCUAACUUUCUGCACUAAAUACAAAACUGCAGAAUGCUCGCCUUCUGUCUUUUUUAAAAUCCAUAUUUUCCGUCAUCAAGGAUAGGAAAAUCUCCAAUUUUAUAGCAAGACAGGAGGCCUCGCAUUAUGCAAGUUUAAAGCUAUAACUGUACAUAAUAAACUAUAUGAUAACUUUAAUUAUAAUCAAGAAGAGACAUGAGUUUCAGGUCUGAAAUAAAAAGUUUUGAAGGUGGAGUCAGAUGACCAAUCUGCUGCUUUGAGAAGGUCUGCUAAUGAAACACCAGAUUGAGCCAUUUUUGUGAAGACUGCACCUCUAGUAGAGUGUGCACCGAAAAUAGAUACAUCAAUAUUAGCAAAUUUCAUACAUUGGCCCUCAUUUACUUAGAAACUCGGGUUGUAAGUCUAUCUUACUUUCUUACCCGAUUGCUUUUUUCCCCGGGUAUUUAUUAUUAUGUUGCAUCCUGUUUGUCGCACGUGGGUUUUGUUGGUUUUGGUUUCCAACUCCUCUGAGCUGUCGGGAAAAAAUCCACAACAAUUCAACAAAUUCGGGUUGGAAACCUUUAUAAAUACGUGGGAAAGCUCAGAAAUGUCGGGUUACGCCCCUUUUUCGGGUUUGGGAGAAUCCACAUCGGGUCCGACGGGAAAAAAUGUUGCAGACUGGCGCACGAUGUCUGCGACAUGUCGCAGACAAAGAUGCGCCAAAAAAACCCGACAAAACAAGUCAGGUUUAGAAUAGUAAAUGAGGGCCAAUGUCUUACCCAUCUUGCAAGAGUAGUAGAAGAAACAGGUAAGUGUGGCUUACAGUAAGAAAUAAGGAGAUGAGAAUGGUGACAAAGAGAUUUAGUUUUAUCUUCAUAGGAUUAAAGACAUUUAACCACACAUAGUUUAUCAUGAUGAGGAAAGGAAGGGCAAAAGAUUAUUUGUAGGUCUGUUUUAGUGCGUCUAUGAAUAUCGAAUAUAACACCUUGAGGAGAGUAAUGUCUACGAGAUAUAUCUAAUGCUCUGAUGUCAGAUAGAGUUAAGACAUAAUAAGGUAGUGAGUUUAAAAGACAGUAGUUUAAGGGAAAGAGCAUUGUUAUUGUCCCAGGAUGAAAAGAGUUGAAAACUUAAAUUAACAUCCCAAGUAGUAUGAUAUUUGGGAAGAGGAGGACGUUUAAAACAUAUACCUGUGAGAAGUUUGCAAACUAAAGGAUGGAAUCAAUAGGAGACUGAUAAAAAGAAAUGGCCGAACGAUAUAAAUUCAAGAUUCGGUUUUACCAGAAUCAAAAGAAGCAGAUAAAUAGUUUAAGAUGUGAGAUAUAUAUAUAUAGGUGCUUGUACGGGAUCCAGAUCCUGUUGUAUGCACCAAUCAGACCAGAGUUUCCAUGCCAAACGAUAGGCGGUUCUGGUACCUGGAGCCCAGGCUUUGGAAAGGAUAUUUCUAGUUGACUGAGAAAGUUCUGAUUCAGGGUUGAGUGUCCCGAUAUUAGCCAAGCAACUAGAAGCCGUUGUGAUAAGAUUAGGGGAUGAUGAUUUGCCAAGGGAUCCAAGAGAAGAUAUGGAAGGAUUCUUGGAUAAUCUAUGGACAUAUUCAGGAUUUGGGGAAACCAGGAUUGAGUCGGCCGGAGUUAUCAGGACUAGGGUUGAUUUUUGGAUCAAACUUGAAUCAAAACUCUGGGAAUAAGGAUGAAUGGCAGAAAGGCAUAAAGUCUCUGAGAUGGCCAAAUUUGGAGGAGAGCGUCUACUCCUGAUGCUUCCGGAUCCGGACACCAGCUGAAGAAUAGAGGGAGCUGACAAUUGAG